UCUCCUCAAUUUGUAUAUUUCGCAAGGCCCCUUCAUUGAACAAUACCCACAAACCCUUCAUUUUCUCUCCAUCUUGCUUUCAUCUUCUUUCUCCUUCGUAUUUUCCCAUAACUUUCUAAAUCGAUUUACUAGUACACACACCACAUAACUCAUCUCCUUCCACCUUUUCAAUUCAUUCUUUUCACUUGUUUUGUUGCUCAAUCUUUCAUCUCGACUUCUAAAAGGAUUUUCUGUAUUCAAUUACCCGUAUGAGGCUUAGUUGAUUUGAUAUGUGUAGUUCUUUGUUGGGAAACUUUACCGGUUUUGUGUGUUUCUUUUUAAUUGAAUUUAUUUGUUUUGAAGUUUCAUCUCCAUUCUCUAGCUGCUGGAAGGUGAAUUGAAUAAGUGAAAAUAUGGGCUCGUCGUGUGCAUAGGUCGUUCAGGUAAUACAGGUAAAAUGUUUAGGCUUUUCGAUCACUGUAUUUUAUUGUACAUGUACUUAUUGCAAUCAACACAUUGAUUCAUUAACAAACAUCUCCUUCUUCGUCGUUUGCCAUCGUCUGAAAUUAGGUAUCUUCUCAUAUUAUUCUUCUUCUCGAUUUUCAACACUAUUUGUAUCUAAUUCACUUCUUAUUUUUCUCUCAUUUUUGUCCAUUUCAUAUCUCGUUCUCUGUUUUUCUCUAAUUUUCAGGACUUUUAAAUCCAUCAAGUAUCAGAUCCAAGGAGCCCCACGGUAUAUGUUUUUAUAUUUUUAUUUUUUUCUCAUCUCUUGUUCUUGUAUUGUUGUCCCUGUCUUUCGUGAUUCAACUGUUGAGUUUACUUCUCCAUUCAUUCUUUGUUUCUCAUCAAUUGCAUACUUGGUCAUCUUUCUAUUUGUUCAUAUGGAAGUUCCAGUGUUCUUUCUUUUGUUUCCAAACAAAGUAAAAUUUUUAACGUAUUUAUUUAACCAUUUGAUUUGUAGCUAACUAGUUAGUUUCAAAUAGUUAUUUGCAACUAUCCUGAUUUGAUUUCUAUUUAUAUUAUGCAUAAAUUGGAUUCUUUUGUCACAUUGAUUGAAUAAAUAUUUGUUUAGUGUUAAGAUCAUCCUUGUCUCUUUGAAUUGCUUCCAUAACUUGAUUGGUCUGCUAGAAGUUGAAAAUAAACUCAACAAUUUUCACUUUUUCUUUAGUACUUGUUUUAGUUUUAUCACUAUAAAAAAAAAAAAAAAAAAAAAAAAAAAAAAAAAAAAUUCUAUUUUGGACUCUAUAAACUUGUACUUUAAUGCUUAAAAUUCAAAACAUUUUGGUUUAGUCCCAAUUAGUCAAGCGACUCAACAUUCAAGUUUUACUAUUGAUUUAUGGCGACUGUUAUGGGCAUAGUCACAGUGAUUCGCGAUAUUCGAACAGAAACUCUCUCCUCAAACAUCAUUGAUCUAAAUAUCCACAAUAUGUAGAGUUUAUAUUUGUGUUUCCCUUUAUUCGAAGAAGAUCUCCCUAUUAAAUUUUUCCCCUUUUUGGUUGCAAAGCUCGAUUAGGUCCGUAAUGCUUCUCUGAUUUAGCUUCAUUCCUAGUAAUUUAUUUUCCUAGACCUUAUCCUACUGAAAUUUGUCCUUUUUGUGUUGUAUGUUGCAUCUAGUGUGUUCAUUUUGCCCAUUUGAUUAGCUUUGAAAAAAUUUAUCACGGUAGACAUUCUAUUUUUAUUGAUGUUGCUGGUGCUUUAUAUGUUAUUUUAUUUUUUUAAUUUGUUUUCGAAGAAUUGCAGCUCUUGAAAUCUACAUAGAUGCAGCAAAGGUUAUGUCACGGAGAUUAUAUACUCCCUAUGAGUUUGUGCAAAUGCUUUUUAUAUCAUCUUAUUUAUUGAUAAAUUGCUAAGUUGUUUUAGUUUCUUACUUCUAAGUAUUCUAGUGUUUAUGACAUUAUGGAUUUCUCUUGAUUGUGUAUUGCAUAGCUUGGCUAAGGAAGUUGCAUAAAUCUAUGAAAUUCACUCAUGGCCGUGGAAAGUAGACCAGAUGAGCCAUUACUCAAUCAACUAUUAUCAAAGCGAUUCGGUCAACGAUGAAGCUCUGGUGGUUACAACACUUAACAGGAAAAGGUCAACAAUGGUUCAAUUGCCAGUUGCACUAUUCUACUUCUUGAUUUCGAGUCUUUCUGUAACUCGAACCUGAGAAGGUCCAUGCAUCUUCCAAGCUUGUUUAAUGGAACAAUUUUGGUUAGCAUAUCAGCUGCAUUAUCAGAGGUCGUUAAACUAUGAAUGACAUUCAAUCAAUACAUAAAUCUUGGACAUGAAGGCUUUUAAACACAUUUUCCAUAAAACAUUCAAUGAUAGAACAUGGUCAGCAAGGACGCAGGAUCCGUGAAUAGCCAUAAGGGAUACAAAACCAAGACUUACAUGUCAAAGAGAAUAGUAGGGAAGAUCAAGUGGUGGUCUACAAGAUUUUGGAGUCAAGAAUCAAGCUAAAUUCGAAGUUGAAAAAGGAGGUCUUCAAAGAGUCUAUAAAUUUUUUAGAGUUAAAAGAGUUGCAAUUAGGUUGCAAUUGAAGAAAGAAUCAAGAAAGGUCAGCUGAAGAAAACCUGCUGUGAAACUACUGCCAGACAGUAUUGCAAUGCUACCCACAGAGUGUUGCAACGCUGGGAUGAAGCGUUGCAGCGCUAUUCAUCCCAGCCAAGAAGACACACGAGCAACUCGACCGACGGUUCAAGAGAAAUGGUUCGGCCAGUUCAGGUCUUGGAGGUCCGGUUUAGCUCGUUUUUGGCCAGUUCAACCCUUUUUCAAGCCUUGGAGGUUCGAUUCGAGCAGUUCAGAUCUGGUUUAGGUUGGUUCAUGAAUUCCAGAAACUAUUGAAAGCCGCCAAAACUGGUCCAUAUCAGUGUGUGUUUAAUUAUUGAUGCAUUAUGAAUGUAUGUUAUAAUUAAAUAAAUCUUGUAUGUCCAUGUUAUGCCAUGCAGACUUAAAAUCCCAUCAUAAGAAGCAUGUAACUUUUGGGGUUGGUGCCCUAAAUCUCGUAGAGUCCUAUAGUUUUUAAUUGUAUUAUACAAACAUUUUAUUUAUCUAAUAAAAUAUGUGAUGUUUUAUUUGACA